rnacentral:rRNA from 1 species
AAUCAACGCUGGCGGCGUGCCUCAGACAUGCAAGUCGAACGAUUAAACUUUCCUUCGGGAAAGAUAUAAAGUGGCGCACGGGUGAGUAACACGUAAGUAAUCUACCUUUGAGUGGGGAAUAACGUUCGGAAACGAACGCUAAUACCGCAUAAUGCAGCGGCACCUAAUGGUGACAGUUGUUAAAGGAGCAAUCCGCUUAAAGAGGAGCUUGCGGCAGAUUAGCUAGUUGGUAAGGAACGGCUUACCAAGGCUACGAUCUGUAACCGGUCUAAGAGGACGGUCGGUCACACUGGCACUGAAUAAACGGGUCAGACUCCUACGGGAGGCAGCAGUCGGGAAUUUUGGGCAAUGGGCGAAAGCCUGACCCAGCAACGCCGCGUGAAGAUGAAGUAUUUCGGUAUGUAAACUUCGAAGAAGUGGGAAGAAUCAAUGACGUACCAUUUAUAAGGUCCGGCUAACUACGUGCCAGCAGCCGCUG